rnacentral:rRNA from 1 species
GUCGAGCGGAUGAAGGGAGCUUGCUCCUGGAUUCAGCGGCGGACGGGUGAGUAAUGCCUAGGAAUCUGCCUGGUAGUGGGGGAUAACGUCCGGAAACGGGCGCUAAUACCGCAUACGUCCUGAGGGAGAAAGUGGGGGAUCUUCGGACCUCACGCUAUCAGAUGAGCCUAGGUCGGAUUAGCUAGUUGGUGGGGUAAAGGCCUACCAAGGCGACGAUCCGUAACUGGUCUGAGAGGAUGAUCAGUCACACUGGAACUGAGACACGGUCCAGACUCCUACGGGAGGCAGCAGUGGGGAAUAUUGGACAAUGGGCGAAAGCCUGAUCCAGCCAUGCCGCGUGUGUGAAGAAGGUCUUCGGAUUGUAAAGCACUUUAAGUUGGGAGGAAGGGCAGUAAGUUAAUACCUUGCUGUUUUGACGUUACCAACAGAAUAAGCACCGGCUAACUUCGUGCCAGCAGCCGCGGUAAUACGAAGGGUGCAAGCGUUAAUCGGAAUUACUGGGCGUAAAGCGCGCGUAGGUGGUUCAGCAAGUUGGAUGUGAAAUCCCCGGGCUCAACCUGGGAACUGCAUCCAAAACUACUGAGCUAGAGUACGGUAGAGGGUGGUGGAAUUUCCUGUGUAGCGGUGAAAUGCGUAGAUAUAGGAAGGAACACCAGUGGCGAAGGCGACCACCUGGACUGAUACUGACACUGAGGUGCGAAAGCGUG